AUUCCUAUAGUAUACAUACUUUGAUUUUUUUUUAGUCUAGUCAUAAAAUAGUUUUAUCUAACUGUCGGCGACAAAACCAAAGAAUAGAAUUUACGGAACAGACGUUUGUCGUAAUAUUAUUAUUAUUUUAAUAUUUACGGAUCGACAGAAAGUAGUAGUGACCACCUGCAGCGAGAGCCCGCGACAUCGUCAUUAUGUUUCCUGGGACAAGCAUUACGAACGGAAAAUACAGACGAAAAAAAUUUACACCGUCCGAAGACAUAAUAAUAAUAAAAAAGAACGAAACGCCGUCAAACGAUAAUCAAAUGACACAAGUACAAUGAAGGAAAUUGUAUAUACAAAUGUAUUAUAUUAUGAAUCCGAG